AUCGCACUGGCCCCCCACUGAGAUGGACCUGUCCACGCCCGCCCGGCAGAGAUCAGGCCUCCUGUCUUCCAGCACUGGCACACACGGAUACAUCCCUGAAGGUGGAAGGUCUCAAGUAUCAGAUACUGACCUUGAACUUGCUAUGCAGCUGAAGGUGACCUUGAAUUCCUAAUCAUUUUGCCUCUACAGUGUUGGCAUCGCAGAGUCACCAGGCUGUCACAGGAUAAGGAGAUGAUCAGGAGAGCCACAUGAACCUCUUUCUCCUCGUCCAGAUCCAGGUCACCUGGGGUCACAGGGAGCCUGGGACCUGAAAGU